rnacentral:rRNA from 1 species
AUGUAUCAUUGGGAUGAAUGGGUCGCAAGUGAUCGUUUAUUGAAGUUGACUGAAGAGAAUGUUCGCAAACAACUAGAACUGAAAAAUCAGUCAGGGGACAAAACCGUCAGGACCGGUGGACGGUCAGCACAUAACCCAAAAGGCUCUAAUGCAGAUGCAAAAGCCGAUAAAGAGGACACUAAGGGUCUUGUCAAGGGGAAGAAGCGCAAGAAUCAGCUUGGCGUUGAGGAAAAGGAAAGAAGGUCAUCAGAGAGUCUCCUCAUGUCACAGUUUCCCGUAACACUAAAGAAGCAACUUGUUGAUGAUUGGGAGUUUGUCACGCAGCUGGGUAAGCUUGUAAAACUACCUCGAUCGCCCACUGUGGAUGAUAUUCUAACGAAGUAUUUGGAGUAUCGGGUAAAGAAGGAUAACAAGAUAAGUGACUCUUGUGCUGAGGUAACAAAAGGAUUACGCUGUUACUUCGAUAAAGCAUUGCCUGCCAUGCUUUUAUACAAGAAAGAGCAAAAGCAGUAUAAGGAAGAAAUUAAAGGUGACGUUUCACCCUCAACUGUAUAUGGAGCUGAGCAUCUACUACGCCUGUUUGUGAAACUACCAGAGCUACUUUCUUCUGUGAAUAUGGAAGAAGAUGCACUCAACAAACUGCAGCAGAAAUUACUGGACAUUCUCAAGUUUCUGCAGAAGAACCAAGUCCAUUUCUUCCUUUCUGCGUACGACGGCGAUUCCAAAGGCGCCGACGGGGCAAAAGGCAAAUAG